rnacentral:rRNA from 1 species
GUUAAGCGACUAAGCGUACACGGUGGAUGCCCUGGCAGUCAGAGGCGAUGAAGGACGUGCUAAUCUGCGAUAAGCGUCGGUAAGGUGAUAUGAACCGUUAUAACCGGCGAUUUCCGAAUGGGGAAACCCAGUGUGUUUCGACACACUAUCAUUAACUGAAUCCAUAGGUUAAUGAGGCGAACCGGGGGAACUGAAACAUCUAAGUACCCCGAGGAAAAGAAAUCAACCGAGAUUCCCCCAGUAGCGGCGAGCGAACGGGGAGCAGCCCAGAGCCUGAAUCAGUGUGUGUGUUAGUGGAAGCGUCUGGAAAGGCGCGCGAUACAGGGUGACAGCCCCGUACACAAAAAUGCACAUGCUGUGAGCUCGAUGAGUAGGGCGGGACACGUGGUAUCCUGUCUGAAUAUGGGGGGACCAUCCUCCAAGGCUAAAUACUCCUGACUGACCGAUAGUGAACCAGUACCGUGAGGGAAAGGCGAAAAGAACCCCGGCGAGGGGAGUGAAAAAGAACCUGAAACCGUGUACGUACAAGCAGUGGGAGCACGCUUAGGCGUGUGACUGCGUACCUUUUGUAUAAUGGGUCAGCGACUUA